UAGAAUUUCGGCUUUGCCGAUAAAUAAGCAUGUUCAGUUAUAUUUGAACAGGUUUUGAAAUGACAAUGAAUACGGACUAGUAGUUUUGAGAAAAAGUCGUCUAAAGUUUGUGAACUAAAAAAGUGACGAAACACAAAAUUACCCUAUAUUGUCAAAAGUGUGCACAAUAAUGUAUAAAAGUGACGUUUGUACACGCAUCAUUACGUUUGAGAAAUAUCAAAAACAAGGUGGUAAAUACAAUGGAAAGCUUCAA
rnacentral:misc_RNA from 1 species